CCUACGGGUGGCAGCAGUGAGGAAUAUUGGUCAAUGGCCGCGAGGCUGAACCAGCCAAGUAGCGUGAAGGACGACUGCCCUACGGGUUGUAAACUUCUUUUAUCAAGGGAUAAAAUCAGGCUCGAGUGCCUUCUCGUAUGUACUUUAUGAAUAAGCAUCGGCUAACUCCGUGCCAGCAGCCGCGGUAAUACGGAGGAUCCGAGCGUUAUCCGGAUUUAUUGGGUUUAAAGGGAGCGUAGGUGGGUUGUUAAGUCAGUUGGGAAAGUUUGCGGCUCAACCCGAAAAGAGCAUUUGAUACUGGCAGUCUUGAGGAGAGUAGAGGUAGGCGGAAUGCGUAGUGUAGCGGUGAAAUGCUUAGAUAUCGCGAAGAACUCCGAUUGCGAAGGCAGCUUACUGGACGGCAACUGACACUGAGGCACGAAAGUGUGGGUAUCGAACAGGAUUAGAUACCCUUGUAGUC
rnacentral:rRNA from 1 species